GUGCCUGCUUCAGCAGCACAUAUACUAAAAUUGGAACCAUGCAGAGAAGAUUAGCUUGGCACCUGCACAAGAGAGAUACACAAAUUCGUGAAGCACUCCAUAUUAAA
rnacentral:snRNA from 1 species